rnacentral:rRNA from 1 species
UGGGGAAUAUUGCACAAUGGGCGCAAGCCUGAUGCAGCCAUGCCGCGUGUGUGAAGAAGGCCUUCGGGUUGUAAAGCACUUUUGUCCGGAAAGAAAUCCUUGGCUCUAAUACAGUCGGGGGAUGACGGUACCGGAAGAAUAAGCACCGGCUAACUACGUGCCAGCAGCCGCGGUAAUACGUAGGGUGCAAGCGUUAAUCGGAAUUACUGGGCGUAAAGCGUGCGCAGGCGGUUUGCUAAGACCGAUGUGAAAUCCCCGGGCUCAACCUGGGAACUGCAUUGGUGACUGGCAGGCUAGAGUAUGGCAGAGGGGGGUAGAAUUCCACGUGUAGCAGUGAAAUGCGUAGAGAUGUGGAGGAAUACCGAUGGCGAAGGCAGCCCCCUGGGCCAAUACUGACGCUCAUGCACGAAAGCGUGGGGAGCAAACAGGAUUAGAUACCCUGGUAGUCCACGCCCUAAACGAUGUCAACUAGUUGUUGGGGAUUCAUUUCCUUAGUAACGUAGCUAACGCGUGAAGUUGACCGCCUGGGGAGUACGGUCGCAAGAUUAAAA